CGGGGCGGGUGCUAUAAUGCAAGUAGAACGCUGAGGAUGGUGCUUGCACUAAUCCAAAGAGUUGCGAACGGGUGAGUAACGCGUGGGUAACCUACCUCAUAGCGGGGGAUAACUAUUGAAAACGAUAUCUAAUACCGCAUGACACUAGAGUACACGUGUACUCAUUUUAAAGGGAGCAAGUGCCACUCUAUGAGAUGGACCUGCGUUGUAUUAUCUAUGUGGAGGGGUAAGGGCUCACCAGGGACACUAUACAUACCACACCUGAGGGGGAGAUCGCCCACUGUGAGACUGACACACGCCCCACACUCCUACGGGGGGCAGCAAUGGGGAAUCUUCGGCAGUGGACAGAACUCAGACCGAGCAACCCCGCGAGAGUGAAAAGGGUUUUCAGAUCGUAAAUCUCUGUUGUUAGAAAAAAACGGUAGUGGGAGUGGAAAAUCCUUUACGUGACGGUAACUAACCAAAAGGGGACGGCUAUCUACGUGCCAACACCCGCGGAAAUACAUAUGUCUCGAGCGUUGUCCAGAUUUAUUGGGCGUAAAGCGAGCGCGCGCGGUUCUAUAACUCUGAAGUAAAGGGCAGUGUCUCCCCCAUUGUAUGCUUUGGAAACUGUAAAACUUGAGUGCAGAGGGAGAGAGUGGAAUUCCGUGUGUAGCGGUGAUGUGCAUAUAUAUAUGGAAGAACACCUGUGGAGAAAGCGUCUCUCUGGUCUGUAACUGACUCUGACGCUCGAAAGCGUGGAGAGCACACGAGAUUAUAUACUCUGAUAGUCCACGCCGUACACUAUGAGUGCUAUGUGUUACGCCCUUUCCGGCGCAUAGUGCCGCAUCUAACGCAUUAAACACUCCGUCUGGAGAGUACCACCGCAGUGUUGACACUCAAAAGUAUUUGACGGGGCGCCCGCACAAGCUGGUAGCAGCAUGUGUUUUAUUUCGAAGCAACGCGAAGCACUCAUUACCGUGUCGUGAUCAUCCUCUCUGACUCGCUCCUAGAUGAUGAGGAUUUCUCUCUUCGGAGACAGAGACACGAGGUGGCUGCGUGGUUCGUCGUCAUCUCGUGUCGUGAGAUUGUGGGAUAACUCCCGACACGAGCGACACCCCCUAGUGAUUAGUUCGCCCAUUCAUUAGUGGGACACUCUAGCGAGACUCGCCGGAUAAUAAACCGGGAAGAAGGGUGGGAGAUGACCUUCAAUCAUACGCCCUUGAGACGUGGCGUCACCGGUUCUACAUGUGUGGUCCAAGAGUUCCGAAGCCGUGUGUCAACGGACAGACCAUAACUA
rnacentral:rRNA from 1 species